AUUGAACGCUGGCGGCAUGCCUAACACAUGCAAGUCGAGCGGAGCGGCGGACGGGUGAGUAAUGCCUAGGAAUCUGCCUGGUAGCGUGGGAUAACGUCCGGAUACGGGCCCUAAUACCGCAUACUAUUAGAUUAGCCUAGGUCGGAUUAGCUAGUUGGUGGGGUAAAGGCCUACCAAGGCGACGAUCCGUACCUGGUCUGAGAGGAUGAUCAGUCACACUGGAACUGGGACACGGUCCAGACUCCUACGGGAGGAAGCAGUGGGGAAUAUUGGACAAUGGGCGAAAGCCUGAUCCAGCCAGGCCGCGUGUGUGAAGAAGGUCUUCGGAUUGUAAAGCACUUUAAGUUGGGAGGCGUUACCAACAGAAUAAGCACCGGCUAACUACGUGCCAGCAGCCGCGGUAAUUC
rnacentral:rRNA from 1 species